AAAGAUUAAGCCAUGCAUGUCUAAGUAUAAGCGCUUUAUACUGUGAAACUGCGAAUGGCUCAUUAUAUCAGUCAUAGUUUAUUUGAAAGUCCCUUACUACAUGGAUAACCGUAGUAAUUCUAGAGCUAAUACAUGCACGAAGGCCCAACUGCUUCUUUAGCGGACGGGCUGCAUUGAUUAGACCGAAACCAAUGCGUCCUCGGACGGUUUUGUGGUGAAUCAUAAUCA
rnacentral:rRNA from 1 species